GUUGUCAAGACAGGGCUAGCAAGAGUGUUUAUUGAGAAAGAUGAAUUCACAGAGAUUUUGAGGUUCCUGGCUGAGUGAUGGAGACCUCAAAAAACGCCUGGUGAGCGAUUUCAGGACCUUCUGUCCAGAGGGAAAGACCAGAACAACUUCCAGGUGAGUCCUGCCGCUUCACAGGGGGAGAAGUGUCACCAGAUUCAAUGCAAGGGUUUUGUGAGUGAGAAGGGCAGGGGGUCUGACUUGGAGAAGGUAUUUCUCUGAAAGCAACGGCUAUUGUGGGAGACGGGAGAAAGCACAGCCAGAAAUCAGAAUGGCAUUUGGGGGUCUGGGUUAGAUAUUCUGGUGGGUUCUCUUCCCGAUGGGACAGAGAAGGAAACCCACUUCCCUUCUGUCUACUUGGUGAAUCUGCGGGUCUCCGAGUUGCUGUCUGCUACAUCUCAUAGCACCUAUCUUGGACUGGACAAAAUUAGCUCAGGUACCCUGCAGGCUGAGAGGGAACAGCUAGUCACAGGAGCCUGGUUUAGGGGAGUUCAAUUGUUCUGAGGUUCCGGGGAAACCGAUGGAGGAGGUAGAUGAGCGGGUUGGC
rnacentral:lncRNA from 1 species